UGAGCAGCAAAGUAUGAAAGGUAGAGAAAGAAAGGGAAGCGUGGGAGAGGAAAAACACAGAAAGAAAAUCAGAGACAUAAAGAAUGGACAGAGAAGAGAGAAGGAAAGAAGGAAGACAGGAGAGGAGCUUGAGAGGCAAAGAGACACAGUGAGGACAAAGAAGAUAGAGACAGUCGUUACCACUUAAUGAGUAAUACUGGAUUAGAUGAAAUAUUCACAAAAUGAAAUCGGAGCUAUAGACCAGUUCGGAUGCCACUUCCCUGACCCCUUCUGUCUUCUGACUCAAAAGUGAAUGCUUUGGAGAUACACACCCUCUGUUGUCAUCACAUGGAAAGAGUUGAUGGAUGGCACCAGGAGAGGAAGCUUGUUUCUUUGAUGGCAUUUCGUUCCAUUAAAAGCAUUCUACUGAUCUACUUGGAUUAUUCCUGAGUUUCUGCAAGACUGAGGAACUUUCCAGAAGGCUCUCAGCACCUUCGAGAUGAUCCAGAUGGCUUCUCCCUCCUCUGAACUAUUACUUUUGGUCAGUCUCCAAGCAUUUCCUGAACCAGGGUCUUCCUUUCUUCCAGGAGACGGCUGGAAACAUCCUCCUUGAGGGUAGCGGCCACCCUGUAUACAUCUCUUCAGAGCCCAGCGCUGCCUGUGACUGUCAAUAUCUGUGACUCUAUCCCUCGACCCAUAAUUCCCAGCCUCCAUCCUAGCUUCUGGGAUAGAGUUCCAUGGAUAAUUCAGCAAUUGCAGGAAAAUUUGGGCCCCCAACAGUGAACAACAGAACUCAAAAGAUGCAAAUACGAGGAUAAUGGACCACUGGAGGCUGAUCCAACACAAAAUACACAUUACCCUGUGCUACGUUCAGGAAUAGGAGGGUUCCUGUCUAGUUGCAGAAAAAGGAUAAGAGGUCAUAUCAAAACAGCACAGUCAUCUGAAAAUGGAACUUAUGUCUACAAAAGUUACAGGAAACCACAUCAAGAAGACUUUGUUUUGGUGCCCCAAGAGGAUUAACCUACUAAAUCCUACUAGCAAGUUUCUGGAGAACUCUAUAAAUUGUAGCAAAUCAAUAACCUCUGAAGUGUAACCUCUACUUGGACUGCAGCCAUUGAGAAGAUGUUCUCUAUACCUUCAAGGACAGAGGUAUCUUGGUGUCAGGAGGCAAGUUACUCCUUCAAGCACUGAUGUCUAUGUUGCUUGUGAUUCUCUGUCCUACAGCUUUGAUUGUAUAAUAUAUGCUGGGUUAAUUUUAAGUGUGUGUGUGUGUGUGUGUGUGUGUGUGUGUGUGUGUGUCUUAAUGAUUUUUGUUCUUCUAUUCUCUUUGCAUUCCAAAAAAGCAGUGAUAUGUAAAAGCAAAUCGGUGUGACACAUGAAUCUUAUUUAUAAAGCACAAGGCCCUGCCCUCACCUUGGUGAACCAGAAAAGAAUUUUCAUCUUGAAGGUGUGUCAGGUCCUAAGAAUUCCAUAAGUAUGAGUUGUUCUGGACUAAGGCAAUAAUGUAGAUAUUGAAGCGCUCAAUAUGGUUUCUUGACAUGAAUUAAAGAUAUUAACGUGCAUGAGCUUUGUGAUGGCUAAAAAUGAUUUGCCCUUACAUCUGAGUUUGUGAUUAGGGAUGGUAGAUGUUAGUAGAGACCUACUUCUAUAUAGAUUAUGUAAGUUUAUUUGAACCAGUUUACUGUCCUGACAUUAUGAAGUUCAUUCUCCAGCCAGUAAGUAAAAACAAAACAAAACAAAACAAAACACAUAAAAUUGAGGUCAAAACAAAUUUAUGGCCACUUAUUUCUUUCCUAAAUACAGUUUUUCCCUCUUAAGACAUAAAUAUUAACAAGUGUGGGAAGAAAUUCAAUGAUCAUUAAUAUUUUCAUUUGAUGGAAUCAAAGAUCCAUCCUGUAGAUAACAGUUUCACCACGAAUUUUGCAUUAGGCAUAGUACCAAGAGCUUUACUGAAUUAACUCAUUUAAUCCUCACAAUAUGAAUUUAAAGCAUGCAUGGAACAAAUGUGGACAAGUCUUUAGGAAAACUUCUCCCUUACUCUGUAUCAGAGGAGCCAAACUUGGAGAAACCUGUAAUUGUUGCCUCUGGCUAGGAAUCUAUCUCCUGAUUUCUACUUUCAAACCUCCCAUUCAUCAAAUACUGCCUCCCCCAUGAUUUUCCUACAACAUGCAAUUUAAUUUUCCUCAUUUAAAAUACAUCCCCAAAGCCAUCUCGUUUUGUUCUCCUCUGUCAUUGAUCCUAUUCUGUCAGACAGUGUGGUUCUCUGAGGAUGUGUGAUGUGCUCUUAGCAAGGACUUUGGAAUCACGAGACAUUGGUUUGAUGUUUCUGAGGCUCACUGAGUAAGUGGUACAAAAAGCAGCAUUACUUACCUCUGGGGUCUUAUGAGACCUAAUCAGAAAGCCUAGAGAUAAUACUUUGUUGACUGGGAACAUGGUUUAAAAAAAAAAAACGUAUUACUGAACACAUUGAAGCAAGUGCUGAGCUGAGUUCAUUUUUUGUGUGUUCUAGGAAACCUUAAAAGAUGCCUGGGAACUAGCCGUCUUGCUCAAUGUAUGUCAAAUAAAUAUUUUUAGGAUAGAACCAGAUACCUUCUUAAUAGAUAAACAGCUCUGAAACAUCUCAAGAGCUUGUUCCCCAAGACUCAGAGGCAGGAUAGGCAGAUCCUUAGCAGGUGCUGGGUUCUUUGAAGCAAAUGAGGCACCACAUUUUCCUUUGAUGGCUGGGAGGACACAAGACAGAGGGAGAUGCUUUCUUCAGCAAAGGAGAAAGUACUCUUUUUAAGAGGCUUCCUUAAUGUGGCAAAAUCCUUCAUCAUGAGGCCAGAAGACUCAAUGUCAGGCAUGUGAGAGGCAUGCUCUAUAUGGGGUAGAAGGACAACAUUUGGCCAAAUUUGAUUCUCAAAUGCAGGCAUGUUUGGUGCCUCUGCACCUCUGGAAGGAAGGCUGUGUUUGUGCAGUGAUGGACUAAUUUCCAUGGCAACAGAGUGUCUGGUGUCAGAAGAAUAGAAAUGAAAGCUCCAUGUGCCAACACUAUAUUUAUGUGAUGUUUAUCUCAUUGAUUCUUACAACGCAAAGAGGGCUUGAUCUCUCAGCAAGCGUGCUUUUGUCCAAAUGAUGCCAAUGCAGAAAUCAUGCCAUUUCUAUCAAUAUUUCACAUCUAAAGGUUGGGUGUACUAUUUUUGUCUUGUGAAGUUUUGAUAGUCUCAAUGGAGCCUUUAGGCUCCUUUCUACAGGUUUUGUUAGAGCUUCAUGGGGUGGCACCAGGAAUGGUGAAGGAGGCAGCUAGGGUCUGGGUUUUGGUUUCCUAAGAAUGCAGCAAUGUCACUGAGCAGCCACUUUCUGCAGGAUGAGGAGAGUGAAAAAAUGCACUCAAAGGACUGAAUGGACCCUUAACUCCUAAGGGCCAACCAGACAGAAUGUGAAUGAGCAGAGAGGCUGGUCUGAUCUAUUGUAAGCACUCUGCUCCCUCUUGCUACAAGUGUCUUCUUGAAAUUGAUACCCUCCCCUCCACCCCUAAGAAAAGCUCACCUCUCAGCCUUGAGUCCCAAUCUUUAAUGCCUUCCAAGACUUUUCUCUCUCUCUCUUUCUCUUUUUUUUUCUUUUUUCUACUAUGAUCUGUGCCCUGAAUACCUCAAACCAAAGACUUCACUCUUGGCUUCUUUCCUGACCCCAGGCUUCUCCACAAACCACAGAGUCCUAUAGUGUUGCUUCAUAGGCCCUUACCCUUUCUAACUCAUUCCUGUCUUCCCAAACCAUAGGCCUGACACAUCAUGGGAAACCCAACCACCCCUACCUUGUUCUUUACCCCAGAUACUGGGUGUCAAGCAGUCUUUCCAAAAGGAAGGUACUUUUUAUCCUGUUGGUUGGCAAGCUGCCCACAGAGAGAAUGUAGAUGAGCACUUUUAAAAGUGAAUGAGGUCGGGCGUGGUGGCUCAUGACUGUAAUCCCAGCACUAUGGGAGGCCGAGGCAGGCAGAUCAUGAGGUCAGGAGUUCGAGACCAGCCUGGCCAGCAUGGUGAAACCCUAUCUCUACUAAAAAUACAAAAAAAUUAGCCAGGCAUGGUGCCAUGUGCCUGUAGUCCCCACUACUCAGUAGGCUGAGGCAGGAGAAUUGCUUGAACCUGGCAGGUGGAGUUUGCAGUGAGUCGAGAUCGCAACACUGCACUCCAGCCUGGGCAACAGAGCGAGACUCUCUCAAAAAAAAGUAAAUAAGUAGAGAUUAAAAUGUCCCCAAGUUACUGCAGUAAUGGUUGUGCAUAUCUGUGAACAAAUAAAACCCAUUCAAUUGUACACUUUAAGUGGGUGAAUUGAAUAUAUGGGAUGUGAAUUACAUCUCAAUAAAGCAAUUUUACAAUAGAUCUUAUGUAUGACAUGGUGACUAUAGCUAAUAACAAUGUAUUGCAUAUUUAAAAUUUGCUAAGGGACUGCAAAAAAUUAUAAGUAUGUGAGGUAAUGCAUGCUGUAUCUAGAUUGAUUUAGCCAUUCCACAGUGUAUAUAUAUUUUAAAACAUUAUGUGUAGACCAUAAAUAUAUGUACUUUCAACAAAGCUAAAUUAAAAAUAAAGCUUUUUUAAAAAAGUAGGUAGACAAAUACAGCCAUCACAUAAAACUCAUGCAAUAAAAAUUUUAAAAUGAAUGUAUUUGGAGAAAAUCUGAGUGGAUUUAGAGAAGAAUGCUGUAUACACCAUAGUAUGGUGUAAGUGGUUUGGUGGUAUGUUGUAGUAUAUAAUAUGUGGAUGUGGUAUGUGAAUGUGUUCAUGGAAGUUUAUAAAAAGUUGGUAUGAUGGAAAAAGCUUUGGUAUUUCUCCUGACAAAUCACUUCUGAGCUCCUUCUUGCUGUUUGCUGCUACUGCUUGAAUGUUCAAUAAACAUUUUGGAUCACUUUAUAUCUUUAUAUGAGCCAGGCACUCUUCAAAGCAGCAAGGACACAUCAGUGAGCAAGAUGGGCAGAGUCCCCGCUCUCAAGAAGUCCAUAUUCUACGUCGGGAGGCAGACAGAAGCCAAAUCAACAAAUGAAUAAACGGCAAUCCAAGCUGGACUUCAGGA
rnacentral:lncRNA from 10 species